GACGAACGCUGGCGGCGUGCCUAAUACAUGCAAGUAGAACGCACAGUUUAUACUGUUGCUUGCUACACCAUAGACUGUGAGUUGCGAACGGGUGAGUAACGCGUAGGUAACCUUCCUGGUAGCGGGGGAUAACUAGUGGAAACGAUAGCUAAUACCGCAUAAUAUUAAUUAUUGCAUGAUAAUUAAUUGAAAGGUGCAAUUGCACCACUACCAGAUGGACCUGCGUUGGAUUAGCUAGUAGGUGAGGUAACGGCGCACCUAGGCGACGAUACGUAGCCGACCUGAGAGGGUGAUCGGCCACACUGGAGCUGAGACACGGCCCAGACUCCUGCGGGAGGCAGCAGUCGGGAAUCUUCGGCAAUGGACGAAAGUCUGACCGAGCAACGCCGCGUGAGUGACGAAGGUUUUCGGAUCGUAAAGCUCUGUUGUAAGAGAAGAACGGGUGUGAGAGUUGAAGGUUCGCGCUGUGACGGUAUCUUACCAGAAGGGGACGGCUAACUACGU
rnacentral:rRNA from 1 species